AAAAGAGGAACAAAAACCACAUGUCCAGCAUAGUAGCAUAACACCUAAGAGACAUAAAAAGAAGAGGUUGAAUACAAAAUUAAAAAAGGACAAUGUUUAAGAACAAACUCGUGUAGGAAAUUAUUUUUGGAUCAUCUCUCUCAUUCUUAAUGUGUGUACACAGCAAGAACAUCUGGGAAACACAAGCAACAGAGGACCAACAUUAGCCAAUAUCAAAUAAUAUAAGUGAUAGGCAAAAAGGUGUAUAAAUGUGAGGUUUACCUGAAAGUUCAUCAGCACUCUCACUAUUUUUUUUCUUUUUCUCUUCGAAACCUACCACACAGUAAUCCCGGGGCCUCGACAAUCUGCAUCAAAGAAAGACAUAGAUUUUUUUCACUUAGAAGGAUAAAUCAGUAAAAAGGAAGAACACUACCUGAAGAUACAGUGCAGAGAAGGCAAAAUGUAUCAAUUGAAGCUGAAAGAACUACUCAACCAAGAGUUUGAAAUGAAGGACUUAGGACCAGCAAGGAAAAUCCUGGGAAUGCAGAUCAAGAGAGACAGAGAUCAAGGAAUUUUGGAGUUGUCUCAAAGUGAAUAUGUUGAACAAGUCUUAAGGACUUUUGGAAUGGAUCAAUCGAAGGCCACACAGACACCACUGGGUGCUCAUUUCAGAUUAAGAGCUGCUUCAGAACAAAUUCUCAGAAGAGAAGAAGAGUACAUGAGCUCAGUUCCCUAUCCUAAUGCUAUUGGAAGCAUUAUGUACUCUAUGAUAGGAUCAAGGCCGGAUUUGGCAUAUCCUGUGGGGGUUGUAAGCAGGUUCAUGAGCAGACCUUCAAAAGAACAUUGGCAGGCUGUGAAAUGGGUCAUGAGGUACAUGAAGGGGACACAAGAUAUGUGUCUAACGUUUAAGAGGGAAGAAAAGUUUGAGAUCAAAGGUUACUGCGAUUCUGACUAUGCAACUGAUUUGGACAAGAGAAGGUCUAUCACAGGCUAUGUAUUUACAGCUGGUGGGAAUACAAUAAGCUGGAAGUCAUGUUUACAGAGAGUGGUGGCUCUGUCAACAACAGAAGCAGAAUACAUGGCCCUAACAGAAGCAGUAAAAGAAGCUUUAUGGCUGAAGGGUUUAGCUGCAGAGAUGGGUUUCAAUCAAGAAGCAGUUGAGAUUAUGUGUGACUCACAAAGUGCCAUAGCUUUGUCCAAGAACUCAGUUCACCAUGAGAGGACAAAGCAUAUAGAUGUGAGAUAUCACUUCAUAAGGGAGAAGAUUGCAGAUGGGGAGAUUCAAGUUGUCAAGAUUUCAACAACUUGGAAUCCAGCAGAUAUCUUCACCAAGAUAGUACCAGUGAGUAAGCUUCAAGAUGCUCUGAAGCUUCUCAGGGUCUCCAGCGAAUGAGAGACCACAGAUCCGAGAUUGGAAAUCAAGUAACACUAAGAGGACAAAGUCAAGUGAAUUUGAACCAAGGAGGAGUUUUGUGGGUUUUGUUUAAAAUUCACCAAGUUAUUAAGAGACUCCAGCUGGUUCAGAGGGUUCACAAGCAAGGAAGAAAGAAAGAAAGGGAUAAGAAGUUCUGUGUAUAACAGAGGGUUCACUUUUUGGUCUAAUGUCGAUGCUUUCUUCUUCUCAGUCUCUCUCGUUCUCUCUCAUGGCGUCACCACCUGAACCAAAAUCGUACAAGCAUGAAUUGGGGAGCAAACAGAAGCGUGAAGAAGGCUGCCUGCAAUUCGUACGAAUCAGGCCGUGUCUGGCGGAGAGAGAGAUCCGACAACAAGAAGAAUUGGCGACCAAGUUGUCGGGUAAGGUUCUCUUUGUCUUUAUAAUGAGAACUGUGAGAAACUUGUAAGGGGUGGUGAGUUCAAGUUUGUAUUGAGAGAGAGAAGUUGUAAGAACCCUAAAGGCUCUAGAUUUGAGCAAAGUCUUAGUGGAUUUCCGAGGAGAGUCUCGGCCAGACGUAGCGACACCAUUCCGGGUCGUGAACUGGAUAAUUUGCUGUGUGUUCUUUAUAUUUUCUCUAAGCUUAUCCCAUACAAACGAGAGAAACAGAGAGUUGAGAGAAAUUCCUUUAAGUUAAACCAAAAGCUUGAAUCUUUCUUAAGUCUUGAGUGUAAAGGUGUUGGCUUUCUCGGUUCUAACUUUCACA
rnacentral:lncRNA from 1 species